rnacentral:rRNA from 1 species
CGUCCUACGGGACGCAGCAGUGAGGAAUAUUGGUCAAUGGGCGGGAGCCUGAACCAGCCAAGUCGCGUGAGGGAAGACGGUCCUAUGGAUUGUAAACCUCUUUAGGCGGGGAGCAAUGCCGGGCACGCGUGCCCGGAGGGAGAGUACCCGCAGAAUAAGCAUCGGCUAACUCCGUGCCAGCAGCCGCGGUAAUACGGAGGAUGCGAGCGGUAUCCGGAUUUAUUGGGGUUAAAGGGUGCGGAGGCGGAUUUUUAAGUCAGCGGCAAAAUGU